UGAGAUUUUAUCAUUAUGUCUACAGACAGAUAAGAGAGCUAGUCAUCGAAAACACACAUAUACAAUUAAACACCUAGAAUAGAAUAAUAUUACUCAACCAAAGGUUAAAAUAAUUACCAUCAUACAGUGACAAUGGAUCCAAAAAUAUUGUGUUCAGUUUUGGUCCUAACACUUUUUAUUUGCAUACAUCCAACAUCAGCACUGUUUUGUUAUCAAUGCAGAGGAGAUACCAACAAUUCUGAUUGUGAACUCAAUGUCCUUACUUCAGCGUAUCAACAAAA